ACUGAGGAGCAGAGAGAAAUGGGGUAGAUACGAAGGCAGGGUUUUGACCGCAAAGAGCUUUGCAUGCUAAACAGGCCACAGGUGCCAGCAGGGUUGUUUGAGGAAGGGAAGAGCAAGACAAGCUCUGGUUUAGGAAGACAGCUGUGGCAGCAUAAAGGCCUGAAAGAGGAGACGGAGCUGUCAGCCAAAAUGGACUUGAGAGCUCCCUGUGGUUUACUUUGUGGCUAGAAAACACUGCCAGCCAGAUGGAUCACAAAAGUCUAUGGUAGCUUAGAAGCUCUGCUCUUGAAGAGGGUCCUGGGAUCUGCCCAACACACUUCCCAACUCCCCUCUCCCCCAAAACAGGUGUAUCUGAGCCUUAUCCCACCACCAAUGCCCCUGCUAGCCUCUCCCCACCCAGCCUGGAGCCUACUCAGCCGGCCCUCUCAAGAGCCCCGCCCAGGGUCACUGGCUUUCUGGGAGGACUCAACAGGCUGCCAGCUUUUCCUCUGCCUUCCCAAGGAACCUGAGACCUCCCUCUGCUCAUGACCCCAGGCCCAAUCCUGAAUCCUGCCCCCAUCGACCAAGACAGCAAAAGGCCCAGGUGUGUCCCUUACAAUUCUGAGCCUUCUUCCUCAAGUUUGGAAGCCCUGACUUUAAGAAAUGCCAAAUGCAAGGACCAUUAAGAAAAUACUCCCCGAAUGAGGUUCCUCUAACAAAUGAUGAUUAAAACUCUCUCUCCUUGAGCAGUCACAUUCUAGAAACAGGACAUUCCACGAGGCAGGAAGAGUUCAGUUAAUUUGUUCCUGAAAAAGUGUGGUUCAGUGUCUGUGUGGCAAUGUACGUGGGCAGAAGAGGCUGCUCACGCUGUGUCCCCCCUGAGCAGGAUUCAGGAAAGGGAAAAGAAGGUCUCUUUGACUCAACCAAUGGGCCGUAUGAUGGCCAAUGAGAUUAUGUACUUAAAAGUCCUUUGUAAAGUGUAAACUAAAAACCUUAAAUGUAAGAUGCUGUUGUUAUUAUUACUGUUGUUAUUGCUGUUAUGGACAUGCCAAAAGGCCCUUGUUAGAAGAUGGUUUUGCCUUCUCAAUCUCAUAGAAAGGAACUCAAGUCUGAUGCUUCGAAAAGACAAGAAGAGAGGCAAGAAGAGGGAGAACUCCCAAGCUCAGAGGGAAAAAAAAGGGAAAAAGAGCCCCAGGGUGACCUUCAGGAAAGGCCAGGACCAGGAUUGAUCUAACCUUUCCCUUUACCAGAGACAAAGCUAUCACCAGACUGAACCCUAAGGUCAAGCAGUCACCCACUGCCUUUGCUGGGAGCAGAAGCCCAUAGUAACAAGUGACCUGCCCCUCACACUCAAGAUCCCAGAUAGAGCUGGAGGAGUCGUAGGGCAUUACUGGUAGGCAGGAAAACUGAGGGUCGAACAAAUGGAAGAAUGCAGUGAUCAUAGACCAAAAACACACGGAUAAUUAACCCCAGGUGUCCACCCAGGCCAAAGUUCUUCCUGCUACCCCACAGUGGGUGUCCAGGCAGAGUGAAGCCUGAGUUAGACCCUCUAACACUUUCUUAAUGGCCCAGAGGGUGUCCUCUGCCUCCCCAACAGCAGUCUCCUGGUGUACCCUCAGAUGAUGGGGAAGCUGAGGGCAUAGUGUGAUUUGGUGGGACUUGUUCAUGUUUUGUAGUGUGGGCUCAACAGUGCCAAAGGAAACACUAGAGGAAAGUUAGUGAAACAUGCCAGCUAGCAGGACCAGUAAAGGCAUAAUCGGGCAUUUGGCAAAGCAUGUUUUUCUAACUCAGCGAUAGGUUCUAAUAGGAAAUUUUUAAAAAUGUUUUUAAAACAGUGUUAUAGUGCCACUUCCCCGGUAUGGAAUAAAUAACAUGCAUUCUUUUUUCAAUAUACUGUCAUAUUCGGAUGUCAUUAAAAUAAAUGGAUGAGUCAC
rnacentral:lncRNA from 1 species